UCUAGAGCGAGCAGAGAAGAGAAGAGAACCAGGAAGGAGGGAGAGAGAGAGAGAAAUAGAGAUGCAGAGCCUUGGAACGCGGAGGGUUUACCACCAGAACGACGCCGUCUCCACGCUUCCUCUCUAUCGCUCAGCUCCGCCACUCGAGGUCAGGCUCGAGGACUUCGAGGCUUUCGCCGUCGAUCGCCUCCGAGUUCUUAAGGCGAUCUCCGAUGGAUUAUCCCGAGGAAAGAAGCCCGAGGAGAUGGAAAAGCUGGUUGAAGAACUGUGGAAAACGCACAUGAAACAGCCCAAGCUGUCGGAGGCUGGCAACAAGGAUGUCAUCUCUCAUUUCGUCCUGCGUCUCGUGUACUGUAGAACUGAGGAUUUACGGAAGUGGUUUCUCUCAAUGGAGACGAUGCUCUUCCGAUACCGUUUCAAGCUUCAAAGUCCAGAAGCUCAGAGAGCACUUAUGGCUGAUCUUGACCUCCCCUACAAGGCAGUUAAUACUGCAGAAUUUGAGAGUGUGAAGGAUAAAGUGAGCCAGGUUGCACGUUCCAUUGUUCAGCCUCCGCCAACAGAGGAUGCUAAAUUUUACAAGGUACCUUUUGAAGAAGUUCCAGAACUUGUAGCUAGCCGCAGGGUGUAUAUUCAUCAAGGAAAUGCAUAUGUUGCUAUGAAUCAGGUGGUUUCACUUGUUGUUACACAGUUCCGUAGUUUUCUGUCAAAGGCGCUCAUCCUGACAAACAGGAAAUGGACCUCGUCUAUCAAAGAACAAGAGAAAGAUCGCUUGACCCCUAUUGUUGAAGAGUUGUCAACGAGCUACUUGGGUCCUGAUUAUUCACAGCCAAGAGAAUCUGCUGAAAUAUCACUAAAAGAUAUAGAUCACUUGGCUAAGAGUUCAUUCCCUCUCUGUAUGCGUCACCUCUAUGAAAAGUUGAAAGAAGACCAUCAUUUAAAGCAUGGAGGGAGAAUGCAAUUAGGUCUCUUUCUCAAGGGAGUUGGCUUGAAUCUGGAUGAUGCACUUGCAUUCUGGAGAGCUGAAUUCUCCCAAAAGUGUCAUUUUUCUCCUGCUUUCCGCCUUUCAGAAGAAAAGGCUAAGGUUGGUGCUGAAAGGUUUGACAAAGAGUAUGCUUAUAACAUACGACACAAUUAUGGAAGAGAAGGAAAAAGAACAGAUUACACACCUUUUUCUUGUCAAAAGGUCAUUUCAUCAACUCCUGGCGUUGGGGAUCAUCAUGGGUGUCCUUUCCGACAUUUCAGUGAAGAAAAUCUAAGGGCUGCUCUUGGUAGAAUGGGAGUAGGUAAUCGAGGAAUGGACGACAUAAUUGACAAAGUGCGAAACCGACAUUAUCAGGUUGCAUGUACAUUAACAUUUGAAGCUGUUCAUGGAUCAACAUGUGAUGCUGGCAUCAAUCAUCCCAAUCAGUACUUUAUUGACAGCCAAAAGGUUCUGCAGUCUAAGGUGAGUUCUCUAGAUAAACUACCCAAUGUUGUUGGGUAAAAAAAUAAAGCACUUAAGUAACGUCUAAGUUCCCUAAACUUGGAAAACUUGGAAGUGAUAAACAAAUGAAGCCAUGAGAUUUGAAGCCUAUUCAUUUUGUCCUAAUAGUUUUAGGGCACAUAAUAUGUUGGUCCAAGUAUAAAUAACUUAAAUACUAUAUAUGCGAGUCCCUUUUUUUUGGGCUGUAGCUAAAUUGAGACCAUUUGCCAGGGUAGAAUUGUGGCUCAGUUGAAGCCUAAUGCAACUAUCAGGUUUAUGUCCAUGUAGAUUACUUGCUAUUAGGAAGACUGAUGUUGAAAGUUGGGAAUGGGGGUGAAGUCUGAACGUAUAUGUCAAAUGACAAAUCAUCCAACUCCACGUCAGACUUGAGUUCUCACUAACCCACAGCACAGUUGUUACCUUCGGUUUACCAAUCAAUGUCACAUUUACAUCCUAGGCUGUGUGGGUUCCAGAACUAAUGGGCUGCCAUGCUAAUGGCAAUCACACUCCAAAGCCAAGGUGCAUAUGGCAUCUGUAGUCCUCGUGAUUCGCACAUAGGGGUCAAUGAUUUUAACACCAUUUCACCACUCAAAUUUGGUCAACGUAAGCCUUCCACAAAACAAGUUGUCCUUUGAAGAAAAAGGGUCUGUCGUUCCUGAAUCAUAUUAGUACACUUAGCGAAGCCUCCAUGAGAAAAUAGUAUAUCCUGCACAUCAAAAAGGUUAGAGGUUGCUAAGGUAGUCCCACUAAUUGACUUCUUGUGAUUGCUGAU